GUGAGGCCUGAGAGUGGGGUGGGGGUGGAGAUGAGCCCCCAUUCCCCAGGGCAGGCGGGGCAGGGGCAAUGCCGGAGGAGCAGGUCCCACCCAUGGGGUGGGGCCGCAGAGCUCUUCGCCGCCAAGGCCGCUGUAGGCUGGGCUGGCGCCAACAGGGUCCAGGGAUGAAGCCACCGAGGCAGGGAGAAAAGUGCUUUGCCCUACAAGCAACUAAGUCAUAGGGCCAGGAGCAAAACCCUGAAAACCUCAGGAGACUUGCAGAGCCAUGAGGCUGGCUCAGCAACACAAAAGCCAGGGGCAAGCCUCAGCUCUAGCAGUGCGGUGGGAGCACCCAAGGCCAGUCACAUCCUAGGGUGGCCUGGAGAGUCCUGACCCCUGACGUGCAAGCCGGCAUCAUCCCCGGGACUGUGAGUCUGGUGGGGGUGAUGCCCAGGAAUGUGACAUUGUGUGGCCCAGAGGUACCCUUAAGACUGGAGGAUCACCAGGCGGGCCCUGACCUCAUCACAGGAGCCCUUUAAAAGCAGUUUCCUUUGCCUGGUUGAAGAAAUCGGAGGGAUCAAACCAAAGAAGGUUUUCUGUUGUUGAGAUGAGGGGGCCACGUGGCAAGGAUCUGAGAACUGCUCCCAGCCAACAGCCAGCAAGACAACAAGACCUUAACUGCAAGGAAGUGAGUUCUGCCAACAAGAAGAGAAUGGGCUUGGAGGCAGGUUUGACCCCAGGGCCUCCACACAAGAACUGAGCCCAACUGCCCACUUGGUUUCAGCCUUGGGUUACUAAGAAUUAGGAGGUAAUGAAUGAGAGUUGUUUUAAGCUGUUGGUUUUGUGGUGAUUUGCUAUGAAGCCAUAUCAAACUAAUAUACACACAGAGGUGUUGGCCCCUGGGCCAUUCCUAGGAAGCCAGCUCUGCGAAGGAGGAAGAAGGGCAGAGAGGCACACAGAGCUGCCCACCACAGCAGCUGUGUCCUCCCUGUUGGCCACCACAGUAGCAGUUGGGGAUGGUCAGCAUCCUUCAGGCAGACUCCAGCCCCGGGUGCUGGAGCUCAGGUGCUAGGGAUCAAGAGAAGUAGCCCUCUCUGGGACCUCCAGAGUCUUCUCAUGUGGGUGGGGUAGGACCCACCCAGUCAGGCUCAGAGCACCGCAAUGCCUCACACUCAUUGUGACUCUGGCCAGGCCCUCUCUGAGCCUCUGUGUCCUCAUCUGGAGCACAGGGACCAGGUGUGUGGAAGCCCGUGGCAUAGUGCCAGGAACACAGUAGAUGUGCACAGUGUGCACUAGCAGGAACACACAACAGGGGUACUGACUGUCAGCACCUAGGCAGGCACACGCAAUGGGGUACUGACUGUCAGCCAUACUGACUGUCAGCGUGCUAGCAGGCAUACACAACAGCUGUACUGACAGCACACUAGCAGGCACAUGCCAUAGGUGUACUGACUCUCAGUGCACUGGCAGGCACACGCAAUAG
rnacentral:lncRNA from 1 species